AAUUCAUAUAGCCGACUCCAAAUUGAUAAAGGUUGAGUUGAGUUGAGUUGAGUUGUAUAAUAAUGACUACAUUAACUAAUAAAAGAAAAGCAUAAAAAAUAAUAUCAUUCCUUAUCCUUAAUGUGUAUUAAUCAUAAAUUUAUUGUUUGACCAGGGGAGGACCCACCACACCAUUGGAUAUAUGUAAAUAGACAAUUUUUAUCAGUUAAGGACAUUUUAACUGUUUUUGAGCUAUCAAAAUCUUAACAAAAGGGGAAAAUGACAUCUGCAAGACCAAAGUUCUUUGAGAACAACUUGAAAAAGGGCUGAUAGGCAAUCAUCACCUCAGCAACCUAAGCUAUAUGUCUCAAGCAUUUCAGCAUCACUCUUCACAUGACAUUACAUAACCUUUGAGCGUCUAGAAAGUCCCUUUAAUUACAAAUACUAAGUCUCAACAAAGAGGACAUAGCCAUUAUUUAACCAGAAGCAAGAACAUUAGCUGUUGAGCUGCCCCUUGCUUCAUGGUGAAGUGCAAGCAGCACUAACUCCACAUAUGUGGAAGAUGGUUCUUGACAGCAGUCUGGGUAUUGCACCCCAGCUUUUCUCAGUAUGAAUCUUAAAAGACAUAUGGCAUAAUUAUAAGUUUCUAAUUAAAAAUAAGCAAACCGGUAAUGGAUAAACAUCAAGGAAAACACCACCUUAAAAUACCAAAUCUUUGUGCAUACCAUAUUCAUCAAUUGGAGCAUC
rnacentral:misc_RNA from 1 species